CUGAAAACCCUUCCAAACCCUCUCUAAGAGUUCUCAUAUAAUCCAAGGCCAAAAUCAAAGCCUAACAAGUGAAUCCAACCCCAAGAAAUCAUGGUGCUAGCUAAGAGUAGCUCUAGUGCGCCGUGGUGACGUGGAAGGUUGUUCUAAGUGAGAGUAAGCUCAUGUUUUGAUCUUACCUUCUUGAUUGAGGUAAGAUAUAUCAUCCUCCAUAUUUUCUUGUGCUUGUAAAGCCAUGGCUAGGUUAUAAGAUUGAAAACCCGUGAGGUAAGGCCUGGAAAUCGUAGUUAUGUUUGGUUAUCGAGUAUGGGACUAUUUUGAAGAUGUUUUAAGAUAUGUUGUGGCUAGAAAAUUGGUACAGUAGCUUGUGUAGGUUGUUGUUGGUGCUAUGGACAUAGUUUUGAAGAAAGAAAAUAGCUUAGAAUUAUAGUUUGUUAAUCGUAAAAUCGAGCUUACCGCUCGUUGUGAUUGUUGAAUUGUUUAAAGAGCUUGUUGAGAAUGUUAUUGUUGUUGAGCCGCUCGUUUGAAGCCAUAUUAUGAUACUGAAUUACUGGAUAUUGGUAGUUAAUGAAUAAGGAAAAUAAGAAAAUAAAGUAGAGUUGAAAAGAGUAUCUUGUUGUUGAGUUACCAUUGUUAAAGACUAUGGAAGUUCUAUGCACACAAAGUGUUCAAUGAAAAGUCUAAAUGAAAUGACUAAUAGUUUAUUGAGUCGCUAUUGAUCCAAAUCAUUCGUAUGAUGUAGAUUGUCAUUCAUUAAAUGUUCGAGGACUUAUGAGCUAUCGACACAAGGUAUGUAAGGCCACUUUCUUUCUUGGCAUGACUUGAUAUAAUCUUCAUAUCGCAAGAUGUAAUAGUCAUAAGUCUUCCCUGACAAACUAUUGAUCAUAUUCUUGUGUAUUUCCCUCCGAUGGCGUCCUUCUGGAUUCAUGAUAUCACUUGUGGUCGGUCUUGCAUUUACACUUAUAUAUGUAUCUAUUUUACUCUAUCGAGUCGCACUAUAGUCGGUCGGGUACAACACCUAUUGUGCAACCAUUGAUCGUUGGUAAUUACCGAGUCCUCUUCGAGCCCGGGUAUGUUAUGAUAAUGACAUGAGACAUUACCGAGUCCUGUUAAGGUCGGGCAUGACCGAGUCCUCUUCGAGGCGGGGUACGUUAUGUUAUGACUUAAAUUUCCCCACAGAGUGGCUUGAUAUUAUAUUAUAUGGACCCAUUGAGUGGCUUGAUUUCUACAUGUAUGCAUAUAUAUCCAUGAUUGUGAUAGUAUAUGCCCUCAGAGGCUUGUUAUGAGUUUCAAGUUGACUUCUAUACUCUUCCUUCGUGUUUCAUCUUCUAUUUAUGUGCUUUACCUGCCUUAAAUAUUCAGCACAUCUUUCGUACUGACGACCCUUGCUAGGGCACUGCAUUUUAUGCCUGCAGAUACAUAUAGUGAUUCAAACGAUACUUCACAAUAGGUGGCUCAACUCAGCUGAAGGUUUUCAUGCUCCUUUCUUUCGGAGCUGUCUAGUGAGCUGGUAGGUGUGAUGGUUGCAUAUAUGUACAUAGUUGGGUAUGGUGGAGCCCUUUCCUGACUUUAUGAUGUUUAUGUACUCCUUAGAGGCUUGUAGAUAGAUAUUAUGUGUAUUAAUGGUUAUGGCGGUCUUGUAGGCCCGUAUGUCUCAUGUAUAUAAGCUUGUAUAUCAUUUUGGGACGUCCUUUGUCGAGUUUCCUUUCAUGUUUUAAUCAAAUUAUCUUAUGGCG
rnacentral:lncRNA from 1 species